GACGAACGCUGGCGGCGUGCUUAACACAUGCAAGUCGAACGAAGAGCGAUGGAAGCUUGCUUCUAUCAAUCUUAGCGGCGAACGGGUGAGUAACGCGUAAUCAACCUGCCCUUCAGAGGGGGACAACAGUUGGAAACGACUGCUAAUACCGCAUACGAUCUAAUCUCGGCAUCGAGGAUAGAUGAAAGGUGGCCUCUACAUGUAAGCUAUCACUGAAGGAGGGGAUUGCGUCUGAUUAGCUAGUUGGUGGGGUAACGGCCCACCAAGGCGAUGAUCAGUAGCCGGUCUGAGAAGAUGAACGGCCACAUUGGGACUGAGACACGGCCCAGACUCCUACGGGAGGCAGCAGUGGGGAAUCUUCCGCAAUGGACGAAAGUCUGACGGAGCAACGCCGCGUGAGUGAUGACGGCCUUCGGGUUGUAAAGCUCUGUUAAUCGGGACGAAAGGCCUUCUUGCGAAUAGUGAGAAGGAUUGACGGUACCGGAAUAGAAAGCCACGGCUAACUACGUG
rnacentral:rRNA from 1 species